AUGGAGCCCCGGGCUGCCGCGGCGGGCGAGCCGGAGCCGGCGGCGGCGUCCUCCUCCUUCCAGGCCCGGCUCUGGAAGAACCUGCAACUGGGGGUGGGCAGGAGCAAGGGCGGCGGGGGCGGGCGCGCGGGGGGUCCGGAGCGCCGCACUGCGGACACCCCUUCGACCUCCCCGCCACCCCCGGUGGGCACACCGGACGCACCGGCCGGCGGGAGUGGUGCAGGCAGCAGGUGGAGCGGCUUCAAGAAGCGGAAGCAAGUGCUGGACCGAGUCUUCUCCUCCUCGCAGCCCAACCUGUGCUGCUCCUCGCCGGAGCCCCUAGAGCCCCGCGGCACCGGCAGAGCAGAGCAGGGGUCCACGCUACGCCGCCGGAUCCGCGAGCAUUUGCUACCUGCCGGAAAGGGGCCCGCGGUGGCCACGGGAGCAGCGGGAGGGACGCCUCCUGGCGGACGCUCCCCAGACUCAGCUCCUUCCUCUUCCUCCGCCUCAUCCUCCCUGUCCUCCUCGCCCCAGCCUCCCCCGAGGGGUGACCGCGCCCGAGAUGAGGGUGAACGGCGUCAGGGCCCCGGGGCGCACUUGUGCCAUCAGAAGAGCUCCUCUCUGCCGGGCACCGCCUGCCUGGAGCAGCUGCUGGAGCCGCCGCCUCCUUCCGCAGAGCCAGCGGGGAGUCCCGUGGAGUCUCGGGCCCCGGAGACGGGCGAGGAGCGCGGCAGCAGCCAGCUCUCUUCCCAUUGCCGAGCCCAGUUGGAUGCUUGCUGACAGAGAGCCAGCAGUCUGAGAUGGGUAAGGAGAGGACAAGGAUUGGAUUUGCCAGCAGACAUCUGCCAAGCAGCACAGGGAUUGGGCCGUGCCCCGCUUCCAGGUGGGGGAAAACUUUCUUCCAG
rnacentral:lncRNA from 1 species